GUGCCGGUCCGGCAACGGAUGCGUCCCGGGUAACGCCCGGGACGACGCCCGGCGGUAAGGGUGAAAAGGUGGGGUAAGAGCCCACCGGGCCGACAGCGAUGUCGGCUGCAUGGAAAACCCCGCGCGGAGCAAGACCAAAUAGGGGAGAAGGGCUAGCCCGGCCCGUUUAUCCCGAGCCCGUAAGGGCGAGGGAUAGUGACUCCCGGGUAGGUCGCCCAGAGGAAUGGUCACCCCCCGCUCCGGUCCUUCGGGGCUGGACGGGGACAGAAUCCGGCUUACAGGCUCACCCGCCAC
rnacentral:ncRNA from 2 species